UCUCUUUAGUGUGAAUGGGCUUUGUUCGG
rnacentral:piRNA from 1 species